rnacentral:lncRNA from 1 species
CUGCGGUCCACGGCGCCGGGCCGCAUGGAGGGGCUGAGCAGGCUGCCCCCGCCGCACCUGCCAAGAAGGCGCCCUCUGAGUGGCUGCCGCGACGAGGGGCCGAAGGGCAUCAGCGGCUCGGGCUCCCCGCGGGGCGGGAGCAGCGGGGCCAGCAGGCUGACUGGCUUGCCGGCCGGCCAAUCGGGGCGGCCCGCCAGCCGGGUGCCCUUCGGUGAUUGGUCGGCGGCCGAGGCGACGGGACGGACGGCGUCCCCCGGCGUCAGCUGCAUGAGGGGAGGGGGCUUCGGCAGGGAGAACGGCAGCGGCUGCGGGGAGGCCGUGGCCGCCGCCGCCGCCGAGUCCCCUCCGGACAUCCUGGCCGCCGGGCCCGCCGCCGGGAGCCCUUUCCCGCCUGCCCUGGCGGCCGCCGGCCGGGGACGGCGAGGAGCGGGCGGAUAGAGAGAGAAAGGGAGGCCCCGCGGCGGAGCCGAGUAGAGAAAGCGGCGGCCGGCCGGCGGCGGAGAGCAACGGCGGGAGCGAGCGCGGGGCCGGGCCGCGGAGCUGGCGCGGGGGGAAGCUGCGGCGGGGGCCGAGCGCAGGGAGCGCUGGGAAAGCGCUCACGUGGGCUGCGGGCGGGCGGCACCAAGAGCGCCGCGCAAAUAGGGGUGUGGCGCGGCGCACCUUCCGCCUCUCCCGCCUCGACGGAACGGGAGGACGCGGCCGCCUCCCCUCCGCCUUGCGGCAGGUGGUGCGUGCCGGCACUCAGGCCCGGCCUCGCCACGGCCCCCCCGCGCGGCGCCGGCUUGGUAUGCGCCGGGCUGCGGCAGCGCGGCAAGGCGGGCGCGGCCCCCGGCAUCGCCGCGCCGUGGUAGGCGCCUCCGGGGGCGGGCUGUGGCCCGGCUCGGGGAGCGGAGCCUGCCGGUACUCGUGCGGCCCUGCGGGGCUGUCCGUCUCCGGGUCGCUCCUUUGCAGCUCUUCCCGCUUCGGCUUUUCCUUCGUGUUCGCGCAGCGCUCUGUUGGCGGGGCUGACGGACAAAGGGCGGUGUGGGAGCGGGGUUGUCGGGCUGAGCCUGGCGGGGCAGCUGCCUGAUGUGCGCCCGUCUGACUCCUGUGCCGGGGAGAGCUGUGGAGAAAGGCGAGGCUUUGUGCUUUGGAGCCCCGUCCUGCGGCCUCGCUGGGCUGUGAGGGGCCCGUCCUGUGCUGGGGAGGGCGUGGGAGAGCACAGGGAGACCAGCGGCAGGGAGAGCUGCAGGUUGGCAUAACGGCCCUGCGGGUUUAACUGAAACGAGGGGUGAAACGCCACUCUUAGUUCUUCAGUGAAGUGCUACAGCACAUAACGUUGGAUUUCUUUCAUAUAGCUUGUUAUAAGAACAUACGUUGUAUAAUCAAUGAGUAUAUAGACGUAAAAUCAGUGACAAUACAGAGAAGAAUACUGGGCUUACCAAAAAAAAGACUCCACGAGGAGCCAUCUCCAGGGAGAGACCCCUCCCCAGCGGCAGUCAGCCCUGGAAUGGGCUCUAGCAGAGGUGCAGCCUGGCUGCAGCCCUUCCACUCACACAGCUCAACUGCCUUCACCUGUGCUCCCACGGCUGACUCAGCGCUCGCCUCAGGUGGUCAAUCAGAGGUUCAGGCCGUGAUUCAACAGUUCCUGUACAUACAUCCACUGAAAAACGUGGAGUUUAUGCAGAUAAAAGCCACAUGCGUUGUGGUAACUGCCUUUUUACUUGUGUAUCUACAGGGAGCAGCACGCCAGCACUGUUUCCUAGAACCUGUCGCUUACUGUGCAGUGCUUGUAUCAUCAGCCCUACAGUGUACCUCCUCAAGGCUGGUGAAAUGCUGAGGCUCUACUUUUAGGCUCCAGAAGUCCUGCUUAUCUAGGACAGAGUCUUCUCUAGACAAAAUACCAGUCGGCUGAAGAGUUUGAACUCAUUGCUAAAGGCUCUGAACUUAUUGCCAGGUAUGAAUAUGAGGAUUUAUAGGGUUUUUGCAAGAUGGGAUCCCACAAAGAUCGCAAGCUAUCAUUUGUGACUGCAGCGAGACUGUACUGCUGCAGUGGUAUUCUUUGAGGGGAACCUGAAAUCUGCUGAUAGAAAUGGUUUCUCUGCCACUAGUUUUCAUUAAAGCCAAAUGUAUCUGUGAAGUUAAUUCAUUAUCUCAUAGUAAAGAACAGCUCACACACGUAAGCUGAAUUUGUUUUGUGAAAUGCACAGAUUAUUUUGCUUACAGGGUUUUAAAAUAUACUGUCUCCAGGCUGAACAAAUGCCUAGUUUCACUGGGCCCAGGUGAGAACAUCUGAUUAGGAGUUCUCAUCUAAAUAAGGUAUGAAAUUCCCAGCCAGCUCUCCAGUGAGGGCUGAAUACAUGUGAAGAGAGCAGCAAAAUGUGUGUACCUCCAUCGAAUCUCUGUAGGUAAGCAUUAUCUUGACACUUUCAGCUGGUUUUCAGAGGUGUAUUAAGAACAGCUUAAAGAUACAAAGCACAUUUUCACAUUCUUGUUUGAAAGAUGGACACAGAAGUAUUAUGCAGGUGGUACUUGAACCACAUCCCUUGGCUUCUAACCUUCACUGUCUUUUUGGUCGAGCCUCAGUUAUAAUUUUACUAAGAAAUAUAUUGAAUAUGCUCAAAUUGAUGUUAACUUCCAUUGUCACCAAAGGAGGGCAUUUAAAACCGUGAAUACUAUCACAGGAAGACUGAGCUGUUGAUUUGUAACGGUGAUUUUGCUUUAAUAUGCACUUCUGCCACGUUGAAGUUCUCUAAGUUUAAUCGCUGUGUGAUAAGAAGAGGCAGCUUGUAGACAGGAUAUUAAACCUUGAUUUCUAUCAUACCAAACAAUUGCUGUAUCUUCACCACUUCUUAAAACUGACAUCCUUUCCUUUCAGGUUGACGUGUCCUACUGUAUUAUUUAAGACUUGAUUAUUGCAGUUGAAAUUGGGUUGUUUUUUUUUAGUGCAAAACUAUGUACUUUAAUGGCUGUAUUUCAUCCAUCUUCACUGUGAAUCUGAAUCUAACUUGAUGUCUCACAAACUGCCCAGUUGAUGCUUUCCUGGCCAGGUUUCCAUGUGAACAGGGUGAGCACACAGCUAUGUAGUGUGUCACCAAUCCAAUUGCAGGCAGCACAGUGCUUGGGAAAAGCUUUACCUGGUGUUCAUCAUGAGUAGGAGUCGUCCCCACCUGUGAAGCCUGGGUUCCUGAUGGAGAAGUUGCUGAUCCUCCUCACCUGUGUCAUCUGAGUGGUUUAGAGGAAUCAUGCCAUCGGACACAGAUCAGUAAUGCUUGUUGCUUGAUCCAACUGCUGUAUAGCUGAUGAAUUCAUGGAUUUAAGACAAAUAAUCCGUAUUUCAUUACUAGCAAGUGCUAGAAAUAAAAAUGUACUCUGCACUAUUGCUUGGAAAAACAAAUCCUGAAGUCGUAAGAGAGGAUUAAAGUUGGAAAAAAAUCUCUCAAGAGAAAAACGAAGGGAGUAAUGACAUCUGCUUAGCAGCAUCCAGCCCCUCAGCCUGCAGCACGGACCUCUGGAGCCCUUACACACGGAAUAAAAGGGGAUGCAGUGAGUGAGGAGCAGCAGAACUGCAAGCAGAGCAGCGCUACUGGUGUAAGAUGGCAUUAGGAAGAGUGGAGUUUUGUUAAUGGGUCAUGGAAAGUAGGUUCUACCUCUCAUAAUGCAAACUGUCUUAUUUUUGUUUCAUUUCCUUCCCAGGGUGGUGUUCUACCAUGGCAGUAAACAAAGCCAUCGGUUGCAGACUUCUGCACCAAUUCAGGUGGCUCCAUUGAAGGUGUAAGAUUGGAGGUGUGAGGUUUCUCAGCAGUGGGACGUUACCACCUAGCUGUGAGCUGGCUUUGCUCUGGUGGGCGUCCUGCUGUUCCCCCACAGUGAGCUGUGUUCUGGUUCUGUUGGAAGGCUGCCCGGUCCUUCUGCCGGGUUUAUAUUCCACUUAAACGCGUGGCUAUUCAAGUGACCAACCUUUUGGAGUGUCUCGUUUGGCUUUGCCUUAAACGUUUGCUGCUCCUACCCCUUCCCCCCUUCCUACAGAGGCCUUUUUAUAGGUGGCCUGUAGUGCCAUAUAGUUUUUGCUUAGAGUUGAGCAUUUUCCUAAGCUUAUGGGGUUAACCACGAUUAUGGGAGAGUUCUUGAAGCAUUUUUGAAUGUAAUGCUUUUAUUUAAUGUUUGUAAGCAAGUUCAAAGGUGUCAGAUACAAAUGUCCCAGUAUGGCACAAGGACGAGACGUGGCAUUGGGGAUUGGGCUGUUCUGUUGCUAGUGCACACAAAUGUGGCAAUGAACUUUUUCCCUCGUGCUUUAGAGCAUUAAAACAGCUGUUUUGGAUCAGAGCAAAGUGGGCAGCAGCUGUGGCAGUGAUCUGCCUGUGAUUAGUGGGCUCAGGCACUCGUGGAGUCACAGAUGGGCUUUGUGCUCUUAAGGGCACUGUGCUUUUAGGGCUCCCGCUUUUGCACCAGUGUGCUUCUUAAAGUGCUAAAAGUUUUCCCAGCUGGAAGUCCUCACAGCAUCACACAGCAAAGAGCUCUGGGUAUCAGCAUCCACACAAAGGCACCGCGCAGUCCGCCUGUGUUCCAAUGGGCACAAACAGCACUGAUUGCGUAUUAAAGCCAUUGUCACCAUCACAACCUGGGAGGAGAGCAGAGUGCCAGGACGCUGCAGGACCCCGAAGAUUAUGUCUUAUAAAUAAACAGCUCAAAUUUGUCUGAAGCCUCAGCGUGCGAUGUAUGGAGCGUUGCAUUCUGACCGUGUUACGCCAAGAUUGCUGCUAAUGGCUUUUGGCAGCACAGCCACCAAGUCAGAAAGCUGAGAUGAUUGCAGAUUGUCUGCUUCCAUACACAUCAUACAGCUGCCUGGAAGACGGUGGAGGCAGCGCCUAAUUGAUGUUUGUUCUUGUCAAUGCGUGAUCGGGUUUUGAUGCAAGGUUCUCCUCUUUUGUGCUCUUCUGGUCAAAUUUUCGUUUAAAUUUGUAUUCUGUGCUGAACAGUAGUGCCAGCAGAACCAUAAGCGAGGAGUUUAAAUUUAGGAUGUGUUGCAGAAAUCCAAAAAUGCUUUACUGUUUGGGUAAAAACGUUUUUGUGUUUUUUUUUCCCCUUCAGCUGCUGCUCUGCAUGCCGUAAAACAGCAAUCCGAAGGGUUUGCUCUGAAAGCAUCUCUUUGUGCCCUGGGCCAGUGACCCCACUGCUGUGCCAGUAAAUCAUGGCAAGCUGGAGGAAUCUCCCUGAUUUCUGAGCUCCUAAUCCCGCAAAGCCUGUAAAUGAUGGCUGGCUUAGCUUUGUUUCUGAUAAAACGAGGCUUAUGAGAUGAUGACAUUUGCUGCCUGUUUCUCCUCCGCUCCGUUCCGUGUCACCACCCAAGAGAUCUCUGGAGCCCAUCAGUGCAAGGCUGUGUGCCUAGUGCUACAACACUACCGCGUGCUGGAGAGCAGGGAGGAGCCUGGGUGAAUGUAUGGGAAUGAAUUUGGCUGUGUUAGCACUCCGAUCCCCUUCUGCAUGAUGUGCUUCCCCUGUUCUGCAGUGUCUGAUGCAGGUAUUGGGUCAGCCCAGUGAUGUUUGCUUCCUGGAGAGCACGCAUGGAACCUGCUGAUGGAGUUUGUUAACAGCCCCGCUGUUCCUUAAGCCAAGCUGGGUUUUUGCUUUGAUAAAACCUCUGGGCAUGGUGUGUGGCUGUACAGAGUGUGAGAACUCAGGGAGGUUCUUUACUCUGAGAGUGGCGAGGUGCUGAACAGCUGCCCAGAGAGGCUGUGGAUGCCCCGUCCAUCCCUGGAGGUGUUCAAGGCCAGGUUGGAUGGGCCCUGGGCAGCCUGGGC